CACGGGGGGAGCAAGCGUUGUUCGGAAUUACUGGGCGUAAAGGGUGUCUAGGCGGUCAGGUGAGUGAGAUGUGAAAUGCCCCGGCUUACCCGGGGACCGGCAUCUCAUACUGCCUGGUUUGAGUACGGGAGAGGAUGAGGGAAUUCCUGGUGUAGCGGUGAAAUGCGUAGAUAUCAGGAGGAACACCGGUGGCGAAGGCGCUCAUCUGGCCCGAUACUGACGCUGAAGCACGAAAGCUAGGGGAGCAAACGGG
rnacentral:rRNA from 1 species